rnacentral:lncRNA from 1 species
CUGCAGUUAGAGGUCUAGUAAGCAGAAGGCUCCAGGUGUCCAGCAGGGAGAGAGACACAGCAAACAGCGAGAGAGGGAACACAAGCAGCGGGAGUGGGAGAGAGAGAAGCAGACUUCCUGCAGAGCAGGGAUCCCAAUGCGGGGCUCGAUGCCAGGACCCUGGGAUCCUGACCUGACCUGAAGGCAGACACUUAGCGGCUGAGCCACCCAGAUGCCCUCGAUCUAUUAACUUUAACUAGGUAAGGAAAUUAAUGAAUUGCAAAAAAAUAAGUUUUAA